rnacentral:tRNA from 1 species
GGGGCCGUAGCUCAGCUGGGAGAGCGCCAGAAUCGCACUCUGGAGGUCGCGCGUUCGAUCCGCGUCGGCUCCA